rnacentral:lncRNA from 1 species
CUUGCCUUAACAGGAAGCCAGUGUAGGGAGGCUAGCACUGGAGUAAUAUGAUCAAAUUUUUUGGUUCUAGUCAGGAUUCUAGCAGCCGUAUUUAGCACUAACUGAAGUUUGUUUAGUGCUUUAUCCGGGUAGCCAGAAAGUAGAGCAUUGCAGUAGUCCAGCCUAGAAGUAACAAAAGCAUGGAUUAAUUUUUCUGCGUCAUUUUUGGACAGAAAGUUUCUGAUUUUUGCAAUGUUACGUAGAUGGAAAAAAGCUGUCUUUGAAACAGUCUUGAUAUGUUCUUCAAAAGAGAGAUCAGGGUCCAGAGUAACGACGAGGUCCUUCACAGUUUUAUUUGAGACGACUGUACAACCAUCCAGAUUAAUUGUCAGAUUCAACAGAAGAUCUCUUUGUUUCUUGGGACCUAGAACAAGCAUCUCUGUUUUGUCCGAGUUUAAAAGUAGAAAGUUUGUAGCCAUCCACUUCUUUAUGUCUGAAACACAGGCUUCUAGCGAGGGCAAUUUUGGGGCUUCACCAUGUUUCAUUGAAAUGUACAGCUGUGUGUCAUCCGCAUAGCAGUGAAAUUUAACAUUAUGUUUUCGAAUGACAUCCCCAAGAGGUAAAAUAUAUAGUGAAAACAAUAGUGGUCCUAAAACGGAACCUUGAGGAACACCGAAAUUUACAAUUGAUUUGUCAGAGGACAAACCAUUCACAGAGACAAACUGAUAUCUUUCCGACAGAUAAGAUCUAAACCAGGCCAGAACUUGUCCGUGUAGACCAAUUUGGGUUUCCAAUCUCUCCAAGCUUGAAACCCUAGGCCUAUAUGUAUUGUCUAUAUUUUGUUGAACCCGGGGUUGAAUUGAAACAAUAGCUGUUGAUGAGUUUUUAAAUGCUAUAUAUGCCUAACUAGUAUUAAUUGAUGAUAUACUGUAUGAUUUAUAAAGUAUGGUUACAUUUAAUUUGAUCUGUUAAACCUACCCAUUGGAAUGACUUCGAUAGCAACAGUGAAUAUAUUUUGUUAUUAAGAGGUCUCAAUAAUCAUUCUCACGAUAGCACAUUGGUAGUAGUCAGUGACAAAUAUCAAAGCUGGGCUUGGUUAAAACCCUGCAUGGGAGACCAAAUGAAUAGCUGUACUGUAGAUGGAGCAACUCUCCAGUAGGAGGUGCUGCCCAGCCUAUAAUUUUUUUUUUUAAUGGUGGAUAUAACGUCGAAGAUCUGAUGUUGUGUUAAAGGUACAUGUUCGACAUUUUAUACAAGGUUUCUAUGUUGAAAAUGGCUUACAAUGAUGGCAUAAUCCUGUGGUUGGAAUUUCAGCCUCUGAACAACAGUUUGAUGACUUUGACUUUUACAAAUCCAAUGUUAUUUCCAUGUAGAGUCCACAUCACAAUACGUUGACAAAUUACAUUGAAACAAUGUUGAUUCAACCAGUUUGUGCCCAGUGGGUAGGGUCCUAAUGCCUUAAAUGGCUCACAACCAUAAACUACUAACCAAGGACUAUUUUACUUAUUGUUUUGUAUCAAAUGUAACAGAUGCUGCAAUGAUUAAGAAGAUGUCACUAAUAUAUUGUAAUUGUCAUACAUUGAUUAUGUAUGCUUUCGUAACGCAAUUUUCUUCUCAGGUUAUUUGUGGAAAUAACCACAAAUUAUUAAUAAUCACACAUUUAUUCUCAGUAUUACAUUAACAACUUGUCAUAAUUUUCUGGUUACAUGGUUUAUAUUUGCUAGUCGGUUAAUAUAUAUAUAUUUGGUAGGAGGGAGUCUAUUAGUGGAUUUAUCCAUGUAUGAGUUAUUGUGUCCAUACACUCUGGUGAUUUCAGGAAAACUGUGUAAUAACAAAAUACUAACCAGAGAUAAAUGACCUGCUAAUAUAAAUGACAAUCAAAUAAUACUACAUAUUUCUUCUUAUUUUCUUUAAAGUUACAUUAGCUAAAUAACUACAUCAUUAGUAUCAGAUUGGAGUUCCCCCACGUUCAUUAGAUAUUGUAAUAUUUGAAUGGGAAAGUCCUUCUGUGAAACAUCCGUCAAACAGACCUUCUGUAUGUAUGCCUCAAAAUUCCUUUACAUGAUUAAGUCACUAGCCAUAACAAAAUGUAACAUCAUAUUGGAAUUCCAAUCAAACUAAAUGUGCCCUUUGACAUGAAGGUUGAAAUGCAUUGCGGAGUAAUAACAAUCUUUAACUGUACAAUGUUAAUGACAAUCCUAGCAGUCUCUGCUGUGUACAUUGAGUCACUAUCACUUCAUCUGUCACAGUCACUCUCAUGAAGACUGGUGCUGUUCAUUUAGGUUGAAGAGAUGCUUAAAGAAAGUUGUAGAAUGCUUAAAGUAUGUGCUGUUUUACCCUUUUACUAUGUGCAAUGUCAAUUUUGAAGAAAAAAAGUUUCUAGGCAGGUUUGUACUCAUGUAAAAGAGAUAUAGUUGUAUACUAUACUACUAUGUGAAUGAAAUGGAAAUAUUUUUGUAUUAAAAUAUCUUUAACAUUCCUUCAACCAUAAAUAUAAGCAGUAUCUUUACUGAGGUACAGCUUGUAUCUGCUAAAUACUUUGUUAGAAUGACUAAUCCACACUAAAGACUCAGGUCAACUGGUCUGAGAAUGAUGCUGGCAUGAGGGAAAAGGGAGCCAUUCUAUUUUUCAGUAGAACUUGUGUUGGCCUAUUGCUGGGGUCAGCCCAACGUAAACAUUGUUUUAAGUGAUAUGAGCAACACAUUGUUUCAACAUCAUUACUGUGUCAGUUUGUUAUUACUCUAAAGACACAACAUUGACUCUAUUCAAGACCUACAUGCAGAUUUGUUUAGACAACUGUCCUAUUAAUGCUGCAUCAUUUUAAAAUACUGUUUGUUGAUUGUCAGCAAAACGACUCCCUAGGUUGUCCUCCACUCAACCUUAUCAUAAAAACUGUUGUUGGUUCAGUGUGCUCAAUGUCCAAUCAUAAGGUAGACUGCCUUUUGAAGCUGGUUGAAGGAACAUGUAGUGUAUGUUUAAAUAUCAAGCUCAUAGAAUAACAGUAAACCAUGUUCUCACAAGUGUCCAGUGUACUCUCCAGCUAACCAUCGUAUGUAAAGAAUUUGCAUUAGUUGACCCCAUUUGAAACCAGAGGCAGUUAUUCAUUUCCAUUAACCCAGUGCCACAGAUGAUUUCCUACAUUUAAGGUUAUGCUGAGAGCCAUUGUGUGUUUGCUGUGUAUUGCUUCAGUUUAUACAAAUGUUCAUGUUUAUUGGUAUGUGUGUUUGUUCAUUGUGAUUGCUGCGUUAGAUCAAAUGGUACUGGCUGUUUCUAUGAUUCUGUUUAAUCCGUCUCCCCCAGCAGUAGAUUAUGCACUUUUUGUUUCACCGUUUCAGACUAUAUUUUUAUGUUCAUGAAUUCUUCAUCAAGUGUCAUUCUUUUUUUAAAGGCAUCAUGUUACUUUGACUUUUGCAUUUGUGACCUUUAGAGUGGACUGUGCAUCCUUGCAGUAUAUGGGGUGGAGGGUCAAUCAAUGCAUACUGUAAAACAUUUGCCAGGAAAAAGUAAGACAAACAAAAACCGAACCUGGUACAUAUUAGCCAUUGCAUUGCAGAAAACGAAUUGAAAAUAUUGUAUUAUAGAAUGUACAAAACAUGUUGAGAUUAUAUAGUUGUUUAUUUUAUGAGAUGUCAAAUAGAUUGAAUAUAUGUUACAUGAUUUGAAAGUAAAACAAACAGAAGUAUUUUGUAACAGAUUAUUGAAGUGUCUUAUUUGGGGAGGUGAGGUUAUUAUUUUCUUCAGUUCAGCAAGUUGGUGUUAUGGUGUUUCACAGUCUAUUGUAUGGCUUGUUUUUUUCUGUCUGUAUAUACCAUCAAAAAUAAGCUUUAACAUAUUGUUAAUAUUGUUUAAAAAUAAACAAAUAAAAAGUUUACAUUCUGAAACAGCUUGGAUAUUAAUUAUGUGAUAGUGAUAUUGAAUUAUUUAUAAAUCUAUUAAUCUUGAUAAUGUGGUAUCUUUAAAAAUAAAUAUAAAAAAAAACAUGCAUUUUGUGCACUUUAUUCUGCGUGUUUUCAUUCAUGUAUAACUGAAGUUUAUUCUCUCUGAUGUAACUCUGAAAGGAAUCCAGUCCUGUUAAAAUACCCUAUAUAUACAAAAGUAUGUGGACACAACUUCAAAUUAAAGGAUUUGGUUAUUUCAGCCACAACCGUUACUGACAGGUUACUGACAGGUGUAUAAAAUCGAGCACACGGCCAUGCAAUCUCCACAGACAAACAUUGUCAGUAGAAUGGCCUUAUUGAAGAACUCAGUGACUUUCAACGUGGCACUGUCAUAGAAUGCCACCUUUACAACAAGUCAGUUCGUCAGAUAUCUACCCUGCUAGAGCUGCCUCGUGAACUGUAAGUGCUGUUAUUGUGAAGUGGAAACGUCUAGGAGCAACAACGGCCCAGUCACAAAGUGGUAGGCCGCACAAGCUCAAAGAACGGGACCGCCAAGUGCUGAAGCGCAUAAAAAUCGUCUGCCAUCGGUUGCAACACCAAACUGUCUCUGGAAGCAACAUCAGCACAAGAACUGUUCAUCAGGAGCUUCAUGAAAUGGGUUUCCAUGGCCAAGCAGCCACACACAAGCCUAAGAUCACCAUACACAAUGCCAAGCGUCGGCUGGAGUGGUGUAUUGCUCGCCCGCCAUUAAACUCUCUGGAGUGAUGAAUCACCCUUCACCAUCUGGCAGUCCAACAGGCAAAUCUGGAUUUGGCGGAUGCCAGGAGAAUUCUACCUGCCCGAAUACAUAGUACCAACUGUAAAGUUUGGUGGAUGAGGAAUAAUGGUCUGGGGCUGUUUUCAUGGUUUGGGCUAGGCACCUUAGUUCCAGUGAAGGGAAAUCUUAACACUACUGCAAACAGCGACAUUCUACACGAUUCUGUGCUUUCAACUUUGUGGCAACAGUUUGGGGAAAGCCCUUUCCUGUUUCAGCAUGACAAUGCCCAAUGGCACAAAGUGAGGUCCAUAUAGAAAUGGUUUGUCAAGAUUGCUGUGGAAGAACUUGACUGGCCUGCACAGAGCCCUGACCUCAACUCCAUCGAACACCUUUGGGAUUAAUUGGAACGUUGACUGCGAGCCAGGCCUAAUCACCCAACCCCAAUAAUGCUCUUGUGGCUGAAUGGAAGCAAGUCCCUGCAGCAAUGUUCCAACAUCUAGUGAAAUGCCUUCCCAGAAGAGUGGAGGCUGUUGUAGCAGCAAAGGGGUACCAACUCCAUAUUAAUGCCCAUGAUUUUGAAAUGAGAUGUUCGACGGGCAGGUGUCACAUACUUUUGGUCCUGUAACGUUAGUGUAUGUAUGUAGUAGGCUACGUUGUCAGUGCGGCGUCGCUGAUGUGUGGAAUGACAGCUUCCUAUAUUCAAAUCCACUGGCGCCGAAGCAAAAGCUGAACUUUGAUAAAUUCGGCCUACUACCAGAAAGUAUACUGUAGCUACACUUUUCCAACCAACUUGUCGUGAUUUUCAUAAGUCAAAAAGUAGCCAACGUUAGCUAGCUAGCUAAUCAUAAACCGUAAGAACGGAUAUCAUAUCAGUAACAUUAGCAUGCUAGCUAUCUGGCUGGCUAGCAGCUGAGUUAGUUACUACAGUCACGUUUUUCUGCAAGAUUUGAUUUGGCAAGACAUAUACAGCUAGCACUGGGUUGAUGGUUAACGGUAACUCUUGUUUGCGUGGUCAGCUGCUGUACAGUAGUCAGCAAAUGGCUGUUUAAACUGUGUUUACAUAGCUACCUAGGUACUUUUUUUAGCAGCUAACGUUAGCUAACUUGUUGUAAACAAACCCAUUUCGCCCAGCGCACGGUCUGUUAUGCACAUUAAUGAACCAUACCUGAAGAAGUUGAAAAAACAUCGAAUCUGACAUAUUUCUUACUCUACUUUGGGACAGUUCUUUACAGCAAAAACUCAUACACUUCAAAUUGACAAAACUGAUGCUGUUAUUUGACUUCAGAGAUAUUUGACACAACAAAAACCUUACAGCUAAGACACGACAGUGAGUGAGUCUGGCAAGCCACGUGCAUACCGUAGUUUAAAUGAUCUGGUCCACAAAAACCUUCUUCGCAGUGGAAUUUAUAAUAACAUUACCCAGUGCUCAUUUGUUUACAAUAAGAAAUUAUUUGGUCAGGGUUGUGUUUACACUGAGAAGAUUGAACAUGGUUCACUUAAGAAGUCUAAUGUUUUGCGCAAGAUUAAGGACUUGGAUUCCCUCCCCAUGGUUACCAAGGAUGGAUUUAGAAACAUUGUGGCAUUGCAAAGUGAUGCACCCCUGCAGAUGGGCCACAAACAUUACCUGUCUCUUUCAGGAAUAAUGAGGGUCCUGAAGGCAGAGUAUAGGUUCUGGAUGGUAAAAUUAGAAUUUCAGUUGCUAACUAUUGUGAGAAUUACAAUGGUGAUUACCUGAACCAGACUUACUUCGAGGUCGCAGAUCAACGUGUAGAAUGAGCUGUGUCCAGAGUGGUACCAGAGACUGAAUGUUGGAACUGUGCUCUACCUCCAAAACUACACCCUCAAGCAGAGUAAUCCAAACAGGUCUCGACCUGACAUAGACAACCACAGAAUGAAGAGCUUUCACUCAGUAGGUACUGAACUCAACCUAACCUAGUGAUUCACAACUUAGCAAAUCAACAUACAGUACGUUGCCAGGCAGACACUCCUGAUUGGUCAUUUUGAAAUAAUAUUCUGUCUGAUUCUGAAUACUGUAUAUUGUGAAACUCUUCAUUGGACCAACACUGAAGGACAGCAUUAUGCUGAAGAAGACUGUUGUUGGUGGCCAUUAUUUCUUCCCUCACACCCCUCAGAUAUUCACACAGUCAGUGGCAGAUGGCUCAGCUCAAGUUCUUCUGGUUGCUGCAAAUUACCUAAAGAGGGAGAUGGAUGGUCUGCAUUAUUGUCCACACAAGCAGCUGGCAAUCCAAGGUCAGAUCAUUGCUGUGCAAUAUGUGGCAUGGCCAGAGGAGGCACUGUCAGACCAGGUAGGCUUUAUUGCUUGCUUGCUUUACAGUGGGUUAUACAAUGAACUUAAGGAGGAUCUUUUGGUCAGCUGUCCUGCCAAAAUCAAAAUUUUAACAGUCUUGAUGAAAAUAACCCAUUAUGUGACAUUUUAUCAGGUAACAAUAAUGUAAAUGCCUGUGCCAAAGCCUGCCACCUUAUCCUCCAACGGAUACUUCAUUUUUAUAAGGGCCCAAUUGUCCUUUUAUCCGCUGUACUUUAUGCAUAAAUGUGUAUAGAAUAUAUAUUACGCCUGUACCAUGUUUGCCUAUGAUUGUUUUUAGUGUUUCAAAACUCAAUUUGAGUGGUCCACAAUGUGGUUUAAAAAAGAAAAUCUGUAUUAUAGUAUCAUAGUGGAGUGACACGUCAAUACAUUUUUCUAACUCUAGAUACAUUGAGUACACAAAACAUUAAGAACACAUGCUCUGUCCAUGACAGACUGACCAGUUCAAUGCAAUGAUCCCUCAUUGAUGUCACUUGUUAAAUCCACUUCAAUCAAUGUAUAUGAAGCGGAGGUUAAAACAUGAUUUUUAAGCUUUGAGACAUUUUAAUUUAACCCUUAUUUUACCAGGUAAGUUGACUGAGAACACAUUCUCAUUUACAGCAAUGACCUGGAGUAUAGUUACAGAGGAGAUAAAUGAGCCAAUUGGAAUGAAGGCCAGAUUGGGAAUUUAGCCAGGAUACCAGGGUUAACGCCCCUACUCUUACAAUAAAUGCCAUGGGAUCUUUAGUGACCACAGAGAGUCAGGACACCCAUUUAACGUCCCAUCUGAAAGACGACAUCCUACUCAGGACAAUGUUCCUAAUCACUGCCCUAGGGCAUUGGGAUAUUUGUUGUUUGUUUUUUUGACCAAAGGAAACAGUGCCUCCUACUGGCCCUCUAACACCACUUCCAGCAGCAUCUGGCAAGCCAGCAGUAUGCUGCAGGGUGGUGUGCUGCAGGGUGGUGUGCUGCAGGGUGGUGUGCUGCAGGGUGGUGUGCUGCAGGGUGGUGUGCUGCAGGGUGGUUUGCUGUGCAUGUGUGCCAUUCAGGGGGGUGAAUGGGCAAGACAAAAGAUUUAAGUGCCUUUGAACAGGGUAUGGUAGUAGGUGCCAGGCACACCGGUUUGUGUCAAGAACUGCAACACUGCUGGGUUUUUCACGCUCAACAGUUUCCCAUGUUUAUCAAGAAUGGUCCACUACUCAAUGGACUUCAAGCCAACUUAACACAACUGUGGGAAGCAUUGGAGUCAACAUGGGCCAGCAUCCCUGUGGAAUGGUUUUGACGCCUUAUAGCGGUGCGCAACUCAAUAUUAGGAAGGUGUUCCUAAUGUUUUCUAUACUCAGUGCAUAUAACACAUUUCAUGUUAUUUUAACACACUAAUUCUCUUUUUCUAAAGUCGAUGCAUUGUUUUUUUUUUACAAGAAAAGGAACAGGACAGGAUACAUUGAAAGACAAAAAAACAACAGUUGCCUGUACAUAACUUUAUAGGAAUGAUUUGGCAUUGGUAAGUCAAGUUUAGAAUACGGUUCAGUCUGUGGGUGAGCCUGUUGUGGCUGUACCUAAUCCACAAAGUGAUCAGAAAACUGUAGACGUAACUGAAACACAGGGAAACAGCACCAUCUGGUGUACAGAGCUCACUCAGCAGACGGGGGAAAAACAACCCAAGAAGAGGUGAGUUUCAAAACACAGGUGGGCUAUAAAACAUUACUAAACAUUUCAAAUUGUACUUGUAACUCCCCUUUACUACGGCAUUUGAAAUUGUAUUUGUAUAUUUUACAUUGUCAUGAUGACGUCACUUGCGUGUUUUAGAAUAAUUGUAUUUUGUUUUUUAGAGUGAUGAAGCAAUGCUACAUCACUCGUGCCAGGAUGCAAGAGAAAAGAGAAGCUGGCCGUGGCUUUACAGAAUAGGAGCUAGUGGAGCAGGAAGAGGAGAGUGAUUCUGAAUCAGAGGAAGAAGUUGGUCCUCUAGAAGGAAACCCAGACCAAACCAGAGCCAGUGAACAACAAAGUCCAUCAGAAUGACGGCGCUCCAAGAGAGAGUGGUUACCUACUGUGGAUGGAUCAUCGGGGAAAGCAGCUCGUGGCUGAAGCAGAGAUGAGAAGUGUCAGAAUAUUUGGGUCAAUGACGAAUAAGAUAUUCAGAUUUGUCGACAAGACCCUUCUGCUGCAGCAGAGUAACCUCCAUGCUGCCAGGUGGAAUGCUAGAGCAAACCGCAGACACCUUCUCACCAGUAGCCUGCAAAGGAUACUAUAAAACCCACAAUUUUUGUGGAUGGCCAUCAAUGCUGCUUUUGUUCCUGUGAUGCCAUCUGGGGACCGCAGGUCCUUAGAAGAGAUUUUGUCAACUGCUGCGGAGCUGAAAGACACUCAUUUUGUGUGUAUCCUUGACCUCUGUCAUCUCGGAGGAGAGAAAGAAGAGGUUCUCAUCACCAAGGUGUAUAGAAUGACAAACAUCGCUUUGGAUAAUAUAUUGGACCACAAUAUGUCUGAAAUUAAUUUGUUCUUUGUUAACAUGAUUAGGCAGUCAUGUUUUAUUGUUCAAUUCUGGAAAUAUUUUGGUAGAUAUUGUUUGUGGCAAUUUUCUCUUUUUUUAAACUGGGGGUUUGAGUAUCUGGAGAAAAAGGAAAACGUUUGGUUUUUGUUUCAUUAGUCCAUUGUUGAUAUAGUCCCAAAAUGUUUUGUAUUUAUUAAGGAUCCCUAUUAGCUGCUGCCAAUGAAGCAGGGGUCCAGCAACAUUAAGACAUUUAUAUACAGUUAAAAAUAUUACAUGACAUUUCAUUUCCCCAAUACAUUCAGAACGGGUGGCAAUGAAUAAAUUAGUCCUAAAUAUAUACAAAAAAAAACUAAGAGCAUUGUAUUUGGGAACACACUAAAACUAACUGCAGCUCUUUGUUAAGUGUU